rnacentral:tRNA from 1 species
GGGGCUAUAGCGCAGCUGGUAGCGCAUCUGCUUUGCAAGCAGAGGGUCGCCGGUUCGAACCCGGCUAGCUCCACCC